AGAGUUUGAUUAUGGCUCAGGAUGAACGUUGGCGGCGUGCCUAAUACCUGCAAGUCGAACGAAGAGCUCAAAGUAGCAAUACUUUGAUUACUCUUAGUGGCGAACGGGUGAGUAACGCGUUGGUGACCUGCCCCAAAGAGAGGGAUAACAGCCCGAAAGGGUUGCUAAUACCUCAUGUGAUCAUUUGCUUUAGAAACUUAUGAUUAAAGGAGCUUUGCUUCGCUUUGGGAGGGACCUGCGUCCCAUCAGCUAGUUGGUAGGGUAAUGGCCUACCAAGGCUAUGACGGGUAGGGGACCUGAGAGGGUGGCCCCCCACAAUGGAACUGAAGCACGGUCCAUACACCUACGGGUGGCAGCAGUAGGGAAUAUUGGUAAUCUGCGAAAGCGGGAACCAGCAACGCCGCGUGCGCGAUGACGGCCUUCGGGUUGUAAAGCGCUUUUCAAGAGGAAGAGGAAGGACUGUACUCUUGGAAUAAGUCUCGGCUAACUACGUGCCAGCAGCCGCGGUAACACGUAGGAGGCUAACGUUAUCCGGAUUUACUGGGCGUAAAGCGCGUGCAGGCUGUUCAAUAAGUUAGGCGUGAAAGCUCCCGGCUCAACUGGGAGAGGUCGUUUAAUACUGUUGGACUAGAGGAUGGUAGAGGGAGGUGGAAUUCCGGGUGUAGUGGUGAAAUGCGCAGAUAUCCCGGAGGAACACCAGUGGCGAAAGCGGCCUCCUGGACCAUUCCUGACGCUCAGACGCGAAAGCUAGGGUAGCGAACGGGAUUAGAUACCCUGGUAGUC
rnacentral:rRNA from 1 species